CCAGCACGCUGCUGGUCGUCAGUCCCCUCGACAGACCUGCAAGCUUCUCAAAACUGCAUCUCAAAGAAUCUCAGCGCCCAAAUAGCAAUCAAAUCAGCCAAAUAACGAAGAAUUCUUCUUCGCUGGGACUGAACGCCCGAGCAGGAUCAGUACUAACUGAUUAUUUGCAGCGCAUCAAGUAUUAUCACCCACACCCGCUCCCUCAUCUUCAUGAAUCUCGGCCAGUAGACAGACUUAUUAUCAAUUGAAGAACAAGCCCAUUUCACGCCGAUAUGGUGACUAAGUUGCUCAACAUCGAGUUGAUGAAGGACAAUGCUCUUCUUGUUCAAGGGAUUGAGCAGCAGACAACCCAUUGUUUAAGAUUCGGGGUAUUGCCGUAUCAUUAUUUUCUCUAUCAUCAUCCCACUCUAAAAAUUGCACCUCCGCAGUUGUUUUGGCUCAGCUUUCC
rnacentral:sRNA from 1 species